rnacentral:rRNA from 1 species
AUGGCGUCCGCCCUGCAGCCGGCCUCCACGCCGCCCGAUGGUCUUGUCGAUGAGGCAGCAGAUGAAGAAGAAAUAAGUUAUGUGUCACUACAUUAUUUUGGCAAAUUUGAGACAGUGGAUGGAUUGCUUGUAUACAACGGAGGUCUGAUGAUUACUUUUCCGUUCAAUAGGAAAAGCCUAAAGUUUGAGCUUUUGUUGUCUUAUGCUGAGGACAUGUAUCAUGUAGAAAGAGGACAUUGUAGGGGGGAUUAUAGUUAUAAGAUGCACUGGCUUGUUCCAGGGAAAAAACUGAGUGAGGGUUUGCAAUUUUUUUUUGAUGAUUCAAGUGUGGAGAAGAUUGGGAAUGCAACACCUAUUGGGUCAUGUGCAGAGAUCUAUGUGGAGGAAGUGCAGUUGUGUGAAGAAGCAGUAAAGCAGUUGCAAAACAGAGUAGAUGAUGUGCCUGUGGUAGAUGAUGUGCCUGUGGUAGUUUCAGAAACAUAUUCCAAGCAUAAAGGUAGCAGAUUUGCAUUGGUAAAUGUGGAUGCUGUGGAGACAAACAUGGUCGAUGAGAUGUUUUUAUCAAAUGUAGCAGCUUCAGCAGAACACAGAGCAGAGCCAGAAGUUGUUGUAGGUGUGAAAAGGACAGCUGCUGAGGAAGAAAAUUUGAGGAUAAUAAGUGAGGCUAAUGACUUUCUUACUACAUUUGAGAGUCCAGUGAAGAUUAAGAAAAGUAGAGCAAGUAGAGUUGCAGUUAAAAGAAGAAAAGUACCUCUUGCAGCUCCAGUUUCAGCAACUACAUCUUCAGGUGCAGCUCAAGGUGCAUGUGCUCCUCCUCCAACUCCAGGUGCAGCCCAAGGUGCAUCUUAUUCAUGUCCAGGUGCAUCUUCUUCAGCUCCAGUAGGAAAUAAAGCAAAAUCUGCAAAGACCAAAGCAGUAGCAGGUACACCACAGAGAGGAACAAUGCCACAAUUUACUCAAGGACAGAACCCAGCAGCUACUUCUGAAUUUGAGUAUACAUCUACAGAUCAUGUUGAAAAUGGAACAAGUGCUAAUGAAGUAUUACAUGAAAAUGUAAAAGAAGGAGAAGAAGGUGAUGAUGAAAGUGACAUUGACUACCAGCCUUUGUCAGAGCACAGUUCUGCUAAAGAAUCAGAGGCAGAGAAAUUAAGGAAAAUAGCAAGGGAAAUUAGGAGGCAGAAGAGAGCAAAGAAAUUAGAGGAUGCUGUGGGGCCUGUCAUCAAAGAUAAUAAUGUGAUUGAAGGAUUGUCUGGUGAUGAGAAGCUGGAUGGCAUAGAAGAUGAUGUUGUGUCAUCAGAUGAUGACUGCUCUUUUGAUGAGGAAAGUGAUGGUGAGGGGGCCACACAGCUAGUGAGAAGGAAAAGUGAAUGGAGAAAAUAUGACAGCAAAUCAGAAAUUCCUACAUUUGAGAUAGGAAUGGUUUUUAGAGGAAGACAUCAGAUGAAGAAAGCUCUAAUAAAAUAUGGCAUUAAGAAACAUGUGCAAUUUGCUUUCACAAAGGAUGAAAAUCAUAAAGUAGGUGCAAAGUGUACUUGGCCUGACUGCAACUGGAUGAUCUAUGCUUCUAAAACUACUAGAAAUAAGUGGCUACAGGUGUCUACCUUUGUAGAUGAGCACCAUUGCAUUCCAAGAAGAGAUAACAAACUGGUCACAUCAACUGUUAUUGCUACAAAAUAUGGCAGGCUUAUAAGAGCAAAUCCAAAUUGGAAGUUAGAAGAUUUGAGGAAAACUGUACUUGAGGACUUAUUUGCUGAUGUGACAGUUGCACAGUUGCAGUGA